rnacentral:rRNA from 1 species
UGAGGAAUAUUGCGCAAUGGGCGAAAGCCUGACGCAGCGACGCCGCGUGGGGGAUGAAGGUCUUCGGAUUGUAAACCCCUUUCGGGAGGGAAGAUGGGACGGGCAACCGUUCGGACGGUACCUCCAGAAGCAGCCACGGCUAACUUCGUGCCAGCAGCCGCGGUAAUACGAAGGUGGCAAGCGUUGUUCGGAUUUACUGGGCGUACAGGGAGCGUAGGCGGUUUGGUAAGCCCUCCGGGAAAUCUUCGGGCUUAACCCGGAAAGGUCGGAGGGGACUGCCAGGCUAGAGGACGGGAGAGGAGCGCGGAAGUCCCGGUGUAGCGGUGAAAUGCGUAGAGAUCGGGAGGAAGGCCGGUGGCGAAGGCGGCGCUCUGGAACGUUCCUGACGCUGAGGCUCGAAAGCGUGGGGAGCAAACAGG